rnacentral:rRNA from 1 species
AGCGAACGCUGGCGGCAGGCUUAACACAUGCAAGUCGAGCGGGUGUAGCAAUACAUCAGCGGCAGACGGGUGAGUAACGCGUGGGAACGUACCUUUUGGUUCGGAACAACCCAGGGAAACUUGGGCUAAUACCGGAUAAGCCCUUACGGGGAAAGAUUUAUCGCCGAAAGAUCGGCCCGCGUCUGAUUAGCUAGUUGGUGAGGUAAUGGCUCACCAAGGCGACGAUCAGUAGCUGGUCUGAGAGGAUGAUCAGCCACAUUGGGACUGAGACACGGCCCAAACUCCUACGGGAGGCAGCAGUGGGGAAUAUUGGACAAUGGGGGCAACCCUGAUCCAGCCAUGCCGCGUGAGUGAUGAAGGCCCUAGGGUUGUAAAGCUCUUUUGUGCGGGAAGAUAAUGACGGUACCGCAAGAAUAAGCCCCGGCUAACUUCGUGCCAGCCGCCGCAGUAA